AUUGACCGCCGGCGGAAUGCUUUACACAUGCAAGUCGAACGGCAGCACGGGGGCAGCCCUGGUGGCGAGUGGCGAACGGGUGAGUAAUACAUCGGAACGUGCCCGGUCGUGGGGGAUAACGUAGCGAAAGUUACGCUAAUACCGCAUACGCUCUGAGGAUGAAAGCGGGGGACCUUCGGGCCUCGCGCGAUCGGAGCGGCCGAUGUCAGAUUAGGUAGUUGGUGGGGUAAAGGCCUACCAAGCCGACGAGCUGUAGCUGGUCUGAGAGGACGACCAGCCACACGGGGACGGAGACACGGCUCAGACUCCUACGGGAGGCAGCAGUGGGGAAUUUUGGACAAUGGGCGCAAGCCUGAUCCAGCCAUUCCGCGUGCAGGACGAAGGCCUUCGGGUUGUAAACUGCUUUUGUGCGGAACGAAAAGGCUCUGGUUAAGACCUGGCGCUCAUGACGGUACCGUAAGAAUAAGCACCGGCUAACUACGUG
rnacentral:rRNA from 1 species